GGAAAUGCUGGAUCCCUGGUGUAGUUGAGGAACCAAUCGUGUCUGGUGAUGGGAGGAUCCGCCAGGCAUGGGUUCGAACCAGGACUGGAAGGUUUAAACGAGCGACAGCGAGACUAGCUGUGCUGGAAAUCGUGGGUAAAUCUGAGCCGGAUAUGAAUCCUGAACCAGGUUUACGGGUCGGGGAAAAUGUUGGGCCCACUGUCUCACUGCCGCGUGAGUAUGCAGAUCCGUUGACAUCUCAUCGAGAUGAGCAUCAAUAAUGCUGAUAGGGUAUGUAAACAAAGAAGGUGAGAAGAAAUGAAGUGAUAGCGAUUGGAGCGAAAUGUCAGGUAGAGGAAUCAUAGAAAAAGGAGGCAAUAUAGAGUGUUAGUAGAAAGUGUUUAAAGUUGCGAGAUAGUUGAAUUAAAGUGGAUUGUGGACGGUUUUCUCAAGUGAACGAAGUUGCUUGGAGAUAGAACGGCACAAGAUUUUAAUAGUGAAGGAAACUAUACCGCUUUACGUGGACGAAGAUAAACGAGGUUAGGAAAGGGAGAUAAGUGCGAAUAGUGACAACACGAGAAUUAAUCGUGCGUGACGUUGUACGGAGUAAAAGCGAAAGGGACGAAUACAGAUCAGUUGGUGACAAACAACAGAGAUUAGAUUAAAUAUCA